CGUAGGUAACCUGCCUAUUAGAGGGGGAUAACUAUUGGAAACGAUAGCUAAUACCGCAUAACAGUAUGUAACACAUGUUAGAUGCUUGAAAGAUGCAAUUGCAUCGCUAGUAGGUGGACCUGCGUUGUAUUAGCUAGUAGGUAGGGUAAUGGCCUACCUAGGCGACGAUACAUAGCCGACCUGAGAGGGUGAUCGGCCACACUGGGACUGAGACACGGCCCAG
rnacentral:rRNA from 1 species